AUGCAACGCGAAGAACCUUACCUGGGCUUGACAUCCCAAGAAUCCCUGGAAACAGGGAGUGCCCUUCGGGAGCUUGGAGACAGGUGCUGCAUGGCUGUCGUCAGCUCGUGUCGUGAGAUGUUGGGUUAAGUCCCGCAACGAGCGCAACCCUUGCCUUUAGUUGCCAUCAUUCAGUUGGGCACUCUAGAGGGACUGCCGGUGUCAAACCGGAGGAAGGUGGGAUGACGUCAAGUCCUCAUGGCCUUUAUGCCCAGGGCUACACACGUGCUGCAAUGGGCGGUACAAAGAGCAGCGAGCUCGCGAGAGUAAGCAAAUCUCAAAAAGCCGUCCUCAGUUCGGAUUGUAGGCUGCAACUCGCCUACAUGAAGUCGGAAUCGCUAGUAAUCGCGGAUCAGCACGCCGCGGUGAAUACGUUCCCGGGCCUU
rnacentral:rRNA from 1 species